rnacentral:rRNA from 1 species
GGGUUGUGAGGUUAAGCGACUAAGCGUACACGGUGGAUGCCCUGGCAGUCAGAGGCGAUGAAGGACGUGCUAAUCUGCGAUAAGCGUCGGUAAGGUGAUAUGAACCGUUAUAACCGGCGAUUUCCGAAUGGGGAAACCCAGUGUGAUUCGUCACACUAUCAUUAACUGAAUCCAUAGGUUAAUGAGGCGAACCGGGGGAACUGAAACAUCUAAGUACCCCGAGGAAAAGAAAUCAACCGAGAUUCCCCCAGUAGCGGCGAGCGAACGGGGAGGAGCCCAGAGCCUGAAUCAGUGUGUGUGUUAGUGGAAGCGUCUGGAAAGGCGCGCGAUACAGGGUGACAGCCCCGUACACAAAAAUGCA